rnacentral:rRNA from 1 species
UACGUAGGGGGCAGGCGUUGUCCGGAAUCAUUGGGCGUAAAGCGCACGUAGGCGGCCCGGUAAGUCCGUUGUGAAAGUCAGAGGCUCAACCUCUGGAGGCCAAUGGAUACUGCCGGGCUAGAGUCCGGAAGAGGCGAGUGGAAUUCCUGGUGUAGCGGUGGAAUGCGCAGAUAUCAGGAGGAACACCAAUGGCGAAGGCAGCUCGCUGGGACGGUACUGACGCUGAGGUGCGAAAGCGUGGGGAGCGAACAGG